GACGGGUGAGUAACACGUAGGAAUCUGCCUAGUAGUGGGGGAUAACUUGGGGAAACUCAAGCUAAUACCGCAUACGCUCUACGGAGGAAAGCGGGGGAUCUUUGGACCUCGCGCUAUUAGAUGAGCCUGCGUCCGAUUAGCUAGUUGGUGGGGUAAAGGCCCACCAGGGAGACGAUCGGUAGCUGGUCUGAGAGGACGAUCAGCCACACUUUUUCUGAGACACG
rnacentral:rRNA from 1 species